rnacentral:rRNA from 1 species
UAAAAUGAGAGUUUGAUCCUGGCUCAGGACGAACGCUGGCGACGUGCCUAAUACAUGCAAGUCGAGCGAGCGGAACUAACAGAUUUACUUCGGUAAUGACGUUAGGAAAGCGAGCGGCGGAUGGGUGAGUAACACGUGGGGAACCUGCCCCAUAGUCUGGGAUACCACUUGGAAACAGGUGCUAAUACCGGAUAAGAAAGCAGAUCGCAUGAUCAGCUUUUAAAAGGCGGCGUAAGCUGUCGCUAUGGGAUGGCCCCGCGGUGCAUUAGCUAGUUGGUAAGGUAAAGGCUUACCAAGGCGAUGAUGCAUAGCCGAGUUGAGAGACUGAUCGGCCACAUUGGGACUGAGACACGGCCCAAACUCCUACGGGAGGCAGCAGUAGGGAAUCUUCCACAAUGGACGCAAGUCUGAUGGAGCAACGCCGCGUGAGUGAAGAAGGUUUUCGGAUCGUAAAGCUCUGUUGUUGGUGAAGAAGGAUAGAGGUAGUAACUGGCCUUUAUUUGACGGUAAUCAACCAGAAAGUCACGGCUAACUACGUGCCAGCAGCCGCGGUAAUACGUAGGUGGCAAGCGUUGUCCGGAUUUAUUGGGCGUAAAGCGAGCGCAGGCGGAAGAAUAAGUCUGAUGUGAAAGCCCUCGGCUUAACCGAGGAACUGCAUCGGAAACUGUUUUUCUUGAGUGCAGAAGAGGAGAGUGGAACUCCAUGUGUAGCGGUGGAAUGCGUAGAUAUAUGGAAGAACACCAGUGGCGAAGGCGGCUCUCUGGUCUGCAACUGACGCUGAGGCUCGAAAGCAUGGGUAGCGAACAGGAUUAGAUACCCUGGUAGUCCAUGCCGUAAACGAUGAGUGCUAAGUGUUGGGAGGUUUCCGCCUCUCAGUGCUGCAGCUAACGCAUUAAGCACUCCGCCUGGGGAGUACGACCGCAAGGUUGAAACUCAAAGGAAUUGACGGGGGCCCGCACAAGCGGUGGAGCAUGUGGUUUAAUUCGAAGCAACGCGAAGAACCUUACCAGGUCUUGACAUCUAGUGCCAUUUGUAGAGAUACAAAGUUCCCUUCGGGGACGCUAAGACAGGUGGUGCAUGGCUGUCGUCAGCUCGUGUCGUGAGAUGUUGGGUUAAGUCCCGCAACGAGCGCAACCCUUGUUAUUAGUUGCCAGCAUUAAGUUGGGCACUCUAAUGAGACUGCCGGUGACAAACCGGAGGAAGGUGGGGAUGACGUCAAGUCAUCAUGCCCCUUAUGACCUGGGCUACACACGUGCUACAAUGGGCAGUACAACGAGAAGCGAGCCUGCGAAGGCAAGCGAAUCUCUGAAAGCUGUUCUCAGUUCGGACUGCAGUCUGCAACUCGACUGCACGAAGCUGGAAUCGCUAGUAAUCGCGGAUCAGCACGCCGCGGUGAAUACGUUCCCGGGCCUUGUACACACCGCCCGUCACACCAUGGGAGUCUGCAAUGCCCAAAGCCGGUGGCCUAACCUUCGGGAAGGAGCCGUCUAAGGCAGGGCAGAUGACUGGGGUGAAGUCGUAACAAGGUAGCCGUAGGAGAACCUGCGGCUGGAUCACCUCCUUU